rnacentral:rRNA from 1 species
GAUCCUGGCUCAGAGUGAACGCUGGCGGCGUGCCUAAUACAUGCAAGUCGAACGGACAAGUAAGAGCUUGCUCUUAUGAGUUAGUGGCGCACGGGUAAGUAAUGUAUAGCUAAUCUGCCCUAUACUAGAGGACAACAGUUGGAAACGACUGCUAAUACUCUAUACUCCUAUCUAACAUAAGUUAGAUAGGGAAAGUUUUUCGGUGUAGGAUGAGGCUAUAUUGU